AAGGCAACAAACAAGAAACGAAAGGCUCUUAAUUAUACACCGUGAAGAGACAAUUCCAAGAAGGCUAAGAAGUUCAAAGGGAAUUGUUACAACUGUGACAAGGCUGGACAUCGUUCAAGUGAAUGUCGAAAACCAAAGAAGAAUGCUCAAGCCCACAUGGUUGCAAAUAACACUCUAUCCAAUAGACUGCAAGAAAUGAGUUUAUAUGCAGUAAUGUCCGAAUGCAACAUGAUUGGAAAUACUAGAGAAUUGUGGAUCGACGUUGGUGCUACCCACCAUGUGUGUGCGGACAAGGCGAUGUUCUCCAACUAUCAAGAAUUGAAUGGGGAACAACUAUACAUGAGAAAUUCUGUAAGUUCCAAAGUUGAAGGACAAGGCAAAGUCACUUUGAAGAUGACAUCCGGAAAAGAACUCGUCCUCAAUAAUAUCCUACAUGUGCCAGAUAUACGAAAGAAUUUAGUGUCCGGGUCUCUACUUAGCAAGAAUAAUUUUAAAUUUGUAUUUGUAUCCGAUAAAUUUGUGUUGUCUAAG
rnacentral:lncRNA from 1 species